ensembl:misc_RNA Metazoa_SRP Metazoan signal recognition particle RNA
GCCGGGUGUGGUAGCCCACACCUGUAAUCCCAGCACUUUGGGAGGCUGAGGCAGGAGGAUCGCUUGAGCCCAUGAGUUCCAGACCAGCCUGGGCAACAUAGGGAGACCCUGUCUCUA